UACAGAGGGGGCAAGCGUUGUUCGGAAUUACUGGGCGUAAAGGGCACGUAGGCGGCCCGCUAAGUCGAACGUGAAAUCCCCGAGCUCAACUCGGGAACUGCGUCCGAUACUGGCGGGCUUGAAUCCGGGAGAGGGAUGCGGAAUUCCAGGUGUAGCGGUGAAAUGCGUAGAUAUCUGGAGGAACACCGGUGGCGAAGGCGGCAUCCUGGACCGAGAUUGACGCUGAGGCGGCGAA
rnacentral:rRNA from 1 species